rnacentral:lncRNA from 1 species
UUUGAAACGGUCCGUCUUGCGGACUGUUUACGUCACAUGGGGGAACUGCGAUCGUUCGGCGAUGGGUUCACUGAAUCGUUCUGGCGUUCACUGAAUCACUGAAUCGUUCGGCGAUGGGUUCCGAUCGCGUUCCGAUGGGUUCACUGAAUCACUGAAUCGUUCGGCGAUGGGUUCACUGAAUCACUGAAUCGUUCGGCGAUGGGUUCCGAUCGCGUUCCGAUCGCGUUCCGAUCGCAGUUGGG